rnacentral:rRNA from 1 species
CGCUCUGUCGAUGAGGGCGAGAAGUCGUAACAGGUUACUACUCGUAGGUGAACCUGCGGAAGGAUCAUU